rnacentral:rRNA from 1 species
AUGCUUCCCCAAGGUAUCAUACAGCUCAGCCGCAGUCCUUUCUCGUCCCCGGUGCUUCUGGUUCAGAAAAAGGAUGGGGAGUGGCGAUUCUGCAUCGACUACCGCUUCCUCAAUGCGAUUACUGUCAAAAAUCGAUACCCAAUUCCAGUCAUUGACGAGCUCCUGGAUGAAUUGCAUGGCGCCACCGUAUUCACUAGUCUGGAUCUGUGUUCCGGAUAUCAUCAAAUCCGGAUGCGACCAGGGGAUGAAGCUAAAACGGCAUUUCAGACCCAUCAUGGACACUUCAAGUUCAAAGUUAUGCCACAAGGUGUCAUCGGCGGGCCAUUCACAUUCCAGUCUGCUAUG